CACGUAGUUAGCCGGGGCUUCUUACUCAGGUACCGUCUGCUGACCGUAAGGUCAGUAUUUCUUCCCUGCUGAUAGAGCUUUACGUAACGAAUUACUUCUUCACUCACGCGGCGUCGCUGCAUCAGGGUUUCCCCCAUUGUGCAAUAUUCCCCACUGCUGCCUCCCGUAGGAGUCUGGGCCGUGUCUCAGUCCCAAUGUGGCCGUCCGCCCUCUCAGGCCGGCUACUGAUCGUCGCCUUGGUGGGCCGUUACCCCGCCAACAAGCUAAUCAGACGCGGGUCCAUCUUACACCACCGGAGUUUUUCACACCGCUUCAUGCGAAGCUGUGCGCUUAUGCGGUUUUAGCACCUAUUUCUAAGUGUUAUCCCCCUGUGUAAGGCAGGUUACCCACGCGUUACUCACCCGUCCGCCACUAACCCAUAUAUCACUAGGUUUCAAUAUGGGUCCGUUCGACUUGCAUGUGUUAAGCACGCCGCCAGCGUUCAUCCUGAGCCAGGAUCAAACUCU
rnacentral:rRNA from 1 species